rnacentral:rRNA from 2 species
AAGAUUGAACUGAAGAGUUUGAUCAUGGCUCAGAUUGAACGCUGGCGGCAGGCCUAACACAUGCAAGUCGAGCGAGAAAGCACUUCGGUGUGAGUAGAGCGGCGAACGGGUGAGUAAAGCUUGGGAAUCUGCCUAGUAGUGGGGGAUAACGUGUGGAAACGCACGCUAAUACCGCAUACGUCC